GACGAACCGUGCGAACGUUGUUCGGAUUCACUGGGCUUAAAGGGCGCGUAGGCGGCUGACCAAGUCGGGGGUGAAAUCGUCCGGCCCAACCGGACACGGGCCCCCGAUACUGGCCGGCUCGAGGGGGUAGGGGCAUGCGGAACUUCCGGUGGAGCGGUGAAAUGCGUAGAUAUCGGAAGGAACGCCGGUGGCGAAAGCGGCGUGCUGGACCCCUCCUGACGCUGAGGCGCGAAAGCGUGGGGAGCGAACAGG
rnacentral:rRNA from 1 species